CUUCUCCACAGAAAUCGAUGGCGCGCUCGUGCUCGCAUUGCAUCAUGGGAAAGCUGGAUGGGUCGGCGCUAGGCCUGCAGCCGAGACUGCCGCACGUUCCGCCAGGAAAAAAAAAAGGCGAGAGGCGCCGUGCGGAGGUUCACCAAGAGUCGCGCGUAAAGCACGCCUCGUUUUCCUUGCGUGCUCAUAGGAAAAAAGAGACUCUCUUCCGUUUUCGAACGAGGCGACAAGAUCGUCGCCGUUCAUCGCUUCCCAACUGGCUCCUCGGCGCACGCUUCUGCCGUCUUCGAUGAGCUUCAAGAGCGGCUUCUACUACUUCGUGCUGUUCGUGAUAUGGUGCGCCAUAGGCCUGUGCUUGCUCGUAUUCGUGCGGUGGGUGCUGAGCUACUCGUCGACCAAGUGAACGCCGUUCGGCGAGCGGGCCACUCGGCGUCGAUGCUGAAGUCCGCGACGACAGAUCCCAAGCGGAAAAAGAGGCGCCGGAAGAUGGUCGACUGAAUCGAAACGAGGCGUGCCUGCCUCGAAGUGCUCGCCCGGCGCUAUACGUUUUGUAGUUUGUCCACGUGGGACGUCAGUCGAGACGUCCGUGUCGUCGAUCAGCACACACACGCUCAAUAACCUCCAAGCAGCAGCAGAGAGCCCGUUAAAGUCGUCUCGUGAAUCGUUAUUAUAGCUUGCAGCGCGCGGUGUCAAUCGUCGGAUAGAGCCGGCCGAGCGACGGCGUGGCUGUCGCAUUCCGCAAGAGCAGUGUAGAGGCGUGUUUCGUGUAGUUGUCGAGGCUCCGAGGAAGCCUUCAUCUUUGUAAUUUCGCUCGGCAACGGUGGUAGACUCGUAGCAAGAAACUGCAUAUUGAUGCUGUCGUCUGAUUUGUGGCCACUGGAAGUGCAGUGCUCCUGGCGACACGUGCCAAAAGCCCCACCACCGCAACACACUGCAAGAAACAAGCAGAAAACGUUCUGUACAGCGGUGUCUGGCCAGGUGCAUCAAGACUACAGGUCACAACGUACGGAGAAAGUCAAAGGACCGUUUUCCCUCAAGCGAAGUUCAGCCAGAGAUCGGGAUGGAUGCCGAGGUUCAGAACAGCUGAGCGUUUCCACUUGAUGGACGCAAGGGCCAUCACUGAGGCUGUUAUAGCGUUAACUCUUACAAAAUGUUCCGGUUACGUUAAAAACCUGAGUAGCGCAUUUCUUUUGUGACCCGACAAAGUACUGAUUCGUCGUUGCAGGUGCGAGGGAUCAGCGGCGAGAACAGCAUGGUACUUUUCUCGUGACUAGCGAAUUAGCGCAAUGUGAGACAAGCUUUACAAUCUGCCAAACGAACUUUUGAAACAUUUCGUAAAAUAAUUUUUUUUUCGCGUCUACAUGCUCUCCACGAAGUCAGUAUUUUCUCUGAGUACUCGCAAUAACGUACACAAGAGGUGCUCAAACUCAAUUACAUGUGCCAACGCACUCACAAUGGCAUUUCAUGCGCAGAAGUUUGGGGUGUCUUCAUUAAAUGAUGCUGCGUGCGUUACUCAGGAGACGCAUGGUCCGAAGCGGCGUCCGACGCCAUGUGCGACGGGCCUGAGAUGUGCAUGUCAGCUCGUACUGGUGGAUCGAACCUAGUGGAAUUUGACGAACCAUGAUGGAACUUGUAAGAAACAUGUAGGAUCCGGUCGUUGGUACAAGUAGUACGUCGGAUCGAACGCCGAAUAGCAUCAUGUUUUUCUUGCUUUAAUAUACACCGACGGCAACACCAAUCAGCAGCGUUCAGAACAGUUGAAUAAGCGAAAGUGGGCAUAUGUAAUAACCCUUGUUACGUUCUGCAAGACUACGACUCAAUACAACCUAUAUUACGGCGAAGAGACACAGAACAGAUAAACAGUAAACGCAGGAACGUAAUCGUGAGGCACCUAACUUUCACAGUCGUUUUGCUCACUAACCAUUUGUAAUUCGUAUUUCACGUUGAAUUUCAAAAUUGGCAGAACAUUGAUCAUAUGGUGCAGCAGUCACAAUGAAUGCCUUGCACAAGAAUGCGCUCAAUCCACAUUGGUUGGCACCAAAUUACAUUUUGUAAAUGCACUACUCGUCAUGUUACGAGGCGCCAGCAGUUUGGCGAGCGGUUACGCGCAAAAUACAAGCGCUAAAAUGCGAGCAUGUGUUAAGGGAUCCGCAUCUGUAGAGCCGGCUGCUAUACCGCAACCUUAACGCUUGGUAACCAAAACUGUACCAUGUUAUUAACGCCAAGGACGGCCGCGUAUUGUUCGAAUAUCGGGACAGAUAGCCUGCAUUUAAUGUGCUAGCAUUCCAAGGCAUAGAUUAUCUUCAAUCUGAGCGAAGGCAAAUCAUUUCCAGAACGGAAACGAGCGAAUCAGGAGCACACUAUAAAGGGGAACUCUAAAUCAAUUUCGCCUGGUACGGUAGUUACGGAAAACUUUAUUUGCAGUUCCUCAGCCGAGAUGGAUUCGAUUAUAGCGGUGAAACCAAAAACCAAAGCUUCCCUUUCAAUUUUAGCGCACUAACGACGUCGCCGAUUACAUCUUGCCACCUCGCUUAUCGACAACAUGUACGCAUUUUGGGUUCCUUUUUGUUCACGAAAAGCAUCAUAAGUGUCCUGGUUCAUUUCUUUGGUUGUGAGUCAGGAAGUCAUGGCACAUGAUGUCUUUGCGGACUUUCGCAUGCAAUUCGUCGUACGAUAAAGUAUUAACUGCCCGCCAGUAGGUGCUGUCAAAAAUAUGACGUCACAUGGAUCUUGUGCGGAAGCUUCAAGAUGGCGUCAGCCGAUAGUGUUUUGUUUUUGUAUUCUUUACAGCUUACCAGGCCACCACUCACGGCAUGGUUGAUUUAUUAUCAAUGCCAACCGUGGUAAAUUACUUAAUUUAAUAUUUAUUAGUAGUGCCCUUUAGGCACUCAUACGUUCUCUGUUGUAAAAGCCUCUUCCGAAAAUAUUGCUCAAGCAGGAAUGGACACAGCAGGAGCAAUGUGGACUACAUCCGUAAUGGACUUGCUCUAAUUCAAAGGCGCCAAAUAUUACCCGCGGGAAACUGCCAUAUACUUUUUUGAGCAAUAUCAAACUCAACGGUUCCUGAUAGCAUAGUCGCACCUCCUUUUUCAGCAAUUGCAUUCAGUUACAUAUGCCAUAGUUCAUAGAGCACAUGUCAUUGCUCAGAAAACAUCAGUAUUAUGCAGAUUCUAUAGUCAGUUCCGGGUUUACAGCUUUCACAAACGCUGAGCUCUGGCAAUGAUUUUUCAGCUCUCGAGAAUGACGCUGGCAUUUCUCGCUCGUUUGACAAAUUACUCGCGAUGGCAACAUUUCAAAUAUACGUCAGCUCUUCCUCAUUCCUGUGAUUCACAGAGCUUUCCUAUUAAUUUAUUUCUGUGGAAACCUUGCAUAUGCAGUCUCACACUAAUUCACGAUAGCGUUAGCAUUCUAUAGUGUUAGCGCUAGCGCGUACCAACAAAUGCGCAUGUGCAGUUCGCAGCAGACAACGUCGGUAGCGGUGGAACGGUAACGUUGUGCUAAAAAUAAUCUUUUUAGAGAUGUAUGCACACUUGCUGUAAACAUAUAGCAGUAUGGCGUGCGAAACGCUCACUUCCAAACUAAAGAUCAAAGUUAAGUCGAUGUGCCGUGCUUUCUAUAUAUGUUUGUGUUUAUAAAUGACUUCAUAAUAUGGCCGACGGCGGUAUCAAUUACCACGGUACUGAACAGAAACCCAUUCGAGAUAGUUUUGUCGUUCAGAACGUGAGGAGCUGCUGCAAGGUACGUAAUCAGAAAGCUGCCGUGGCUUGCCGAAUUCAACAGGACCGAGUAUCUCAGUACAAAUGCGAAUGCAAGUCAAUAUUCGCAGGCUCAAAUCAUUGAAAGUAUUGCAUUGUCUUGAUGAAAGAUUAAAAAAAAAGAACUUUUACGACUCUGUUGAAAAUAAGUAACAAAAUGGUACAAAAGUAUACAUCGGAGCUAUGGUAAUCGUUGCAUGACAUUUUUUUUCUUUUUAAACAGCCAGUACUCAUGCGAUAAAUAGCACAACUUCAAAAUUUACACUGGAGCGUAACUGUACAUUGGUACACUGCAGUGUUGAUGUGAGGAUACUGAAAGUUCUGGCAUUGGCCGGCACUGUCAAAGAAAGUCAGCACUGUCAAAGGAAAAAUGUCAAAGAAUGUCAAACAUAAGUUGCGGUUUCAAACCACCGACGCUACAGAACUGGAUUAGAUUUAGCGUGGCUGCAACCCCUGAAGUACAAUUUCAGAGAUCUUUGUGUUCAUAAACUUUAACCAGUUGAAGAAUGUGACGGGCUUGCGCAACAGUUCGGCCUUAUACACUCGCUCUCCUUACUUCGUAUUGGCGCUGUUAAAAACCAACACAUUAUUUUUGAUGCGAUUUUCGCUGUAAGACAUUCGUCGUUUGCUGAACAGUUGUGCCGUGAAGAUGUGUGUUUGCUAAAAUUUACAUUGGCGGUGGUCAAUCAUUGGGUCAUCUUUUUUGACAGAAUGUGAUGUACAAUAAUUUUGCUGUGUUUGACGAACGUUGUCGCAUAAAUGUGCAGUGAGACGUCUGUGCGCUCACAAAGACUACCAGACAUUUCCAGUUUUGUAGCGUUGUUCAUGGACCAGAAUAUACGAGCACCGCAUUUGACAGCGCGAGUACCAUCGACUGCAGCUAAUUGUUGCAGAUUGACUCUGCUUAUGUCCUCCGAGUUUAAAGCGGAGCACAUAUCUCGGAGGCCGUGCUCUGGGGGUAUGCAAUACCCGCGAUUCCACAGAUAGCACGCCAAUAAUAGUGAUCAGAAGAGCUGUUAGUAAAUAGUUGCUAGUUGAUAGUGAUCAGAAGAGAACGCUCGUCGAAUGCCGAUUUAAAAGUUUCGUGAACGUGCCGAAUUGCGCCGUGACGUCGUUUUGCUUCGCCGCGCCGGCAACAGAUGUCGCCACGGGCAUUGCCAAUAUGGCGGCGGAAGGCCACCAUGGAGCUCCGUUAGCUCCGUACAUCAUCUGUUUGUCACUGCAGGGUGUGUUCACAUUUCACGCUCUUGGAUCAAGCACUAAGUAAUGCUCACGGUACUCUCGUAGCGUACCUCGAGGAGACGUAUAAUAGUAAUAAUAUUACUAGUAACCUGGCAGGCGUUGUGUAUAACUACUGUAAUCGUGCCGCACGCAGGGGUGCGGUCUCUCUGUCUUCUUGCGCCGAUAAUUGCAGUUUCUAUGCAGAUGCUAUCGUCAGGGUGCUGUUUCUUCUCUUUUGUAGAUGCCGCUGCCGUCGCGCGAUUGUAUUGAAAAAAAAAACAAUUAUUCUGUACCUGUAGACUGGAUCUCACUACCAAAUAAAGGCGACUUUUUAGAAUUUC